rnacentral:rRNA from 1 species
AUGCUUCCAAGUGAUGGAGAUGAUGCUCAUGAUGUUCCAUUGAGUAGUGGGUGCAAUGUUGGUACCAAAGUUGCUGAUGAGGAUGCUGGUGCUGCCAGCAUACUUGAUGCCAAAUCGCCUGGUGUUGGUAUUACUGGGAAUGAAAAUGUUUCUGGUUGUGAAGAUUUGCCGCCGGAGAAUUUCCCGCCUGGAGGUCUUGAUUACGGUGAUGCAUUGCAAUAUGCUUCUAGCGUGGAGGAGGUGCCAUCCGAGGAUGAUGAUUUACUUCUAUCAAUUUCUUCUGACCCCUUGACGCAGGAGGCGCUCUUGUCGUCCCAGGAUUUUCUUUCUACAGACCCUGAAAGCGCAUCAAUAUUGGUGGCCUCUCAAGAUGUCCCAUCGUCAAACCCUGAAACUGGAGGCAUAAUGGUCUCAUCAUAG